rnacentral:rRNA from 1 species
UGAGGAAUAUUGGUCAAUGGGCGAGAGCCUGAACCAGCCAAGUAGCGUGCAGGAUGACGGCCCUAUGGGUUGUAAACUGCUUUUAUAUGGGGAUAAAGUGGGGAACGUGUUCCCUUUUGCAGGUACCAUAUGAAUAAGGACCGGCUAAUUCCGUGCCAGCAGCCGCGGUAAUACGGAAGGUCCGGGCGUUAUCCGGAUUUAUUGGGUUUAAAGGGAGCGUAGGCCGUAGAUUAAGUGUGUUGUGAAAUGUAGACGCUCAACGUCUGACUUGCAGCGGAUACUGGUUUACUUGAGUUUGCACAACGUUGGCGGAAUUCGUCGUGUAGCGGUGAAAUGCUUAGAUAUGACGAAGAACUCCGAUUGCGAAGGCAGCUUGCGGGAGCAAAACUGACGCUGAAGCUCGAAAGUGCGGGUAUCGAACAGG